rnacentral:rRNA from 1 species
UACGGAGGAUGCAAGCGUUAUCCGGAAUGAUUGGGCGUAAAGCGUUUUAAGGUGGUUUGGUAAGUCUACUGUUAAAUAUCAGGCUUAACCCUGAACAGGCAGUGGAAACUAGCAAGCUUGAGUACGGUAGGGGCAAAGGGAAUUCCCGGUGUAGCGGUGAAAUGCGUAGAUAUCGGGAAGAACACCAAAGGCGAAAACGCUA